AAAAAGACAAAGAAUUUCCACAUUUCCAAUAUUCUGCCUGCAACUCAUUUGGCUGGACAACAAAAAGACUUUAAAGUCAUUUUUCUUAGUUCGACACUCUGGUGAGUUCAGGUCUUCUGUCUUUGUUUUACUGCGGCUCAAAGUGAAGUUACUGUUUUACUGCAGUAGAGUUAAGGUGUUAUGCCUUUGUUUUAAUAUCUGUCAUCAAGCACUUCUGACACACACAGCAGCUUGACUAAAGUGUAGCAAAGAAA